rnacentral:rRNA from 1 species
UUUGUAUAAUGGGUCAGCGACUUAUAUUCUGUAGCAAGGUUAACCGAAUAGGGGAGCCGGAGGGAAACCGAGUCUUAACCGGGCGUUAAGUUGCAGGGUAUAGACCCGAAACCCGGUGAUCUAGCCAUGGGCAGGUUGAAGGUUGGGUAACACUAACUGGAGGACCGAACCGACUAAUGUUGAAAAAUUAGCGGAUGACCUGUGGCUGGGGGUGAAAGGCCAAUCAAACCGGGAGAUAGCUGGUUCUCCCCGAAAGCUAUUUAGGUAGCGCCUCGUGAAUUCAUCUCCGGGGGUAGAGCACUGUUUCGGCUAGGGGGCCAUCCCGGCUUACCAACCCGAUGCAAACUGCGAAUACCGGAGAAUGUUAUCACGGGAGACACACGGCGGGUGCUAACGUCCGUCGUGAAGAGGGAAACAACCCAGACCGCCAGCUAAGGUCCCAAAGUCAUGGUUAAGUGGGAAACGAUGUGGGAAGGCCCAGACAGCCAGGAUGUUGGCUUAGAAGCAGCCAUCAUUUAAAGAAAGCGUAAUAGCUCACUGGUCGAGUCGGCCUGCGCGGAAGAUGUAACGGGGCUAAACCAUGCACCGAAGCUGCGGCAGCGACACUGUGUGUUGUUGGGUA